rnacentral:rRNA from 1 species
GACGAAGGGGGCUAGCGUUGUUCGGAAUUACUGGGCGUAAAGAACGCGUAGGCGGCUUAGAAAGUUGGAAGUGAAAGCCCGGGGCUUAACCUCGGAACUGCUUUCAAAACUCCUAAGCUAGAGUGUAGUAGGGGAUGAUGGAAUUCCUAGUGUAGAGGUGAAAUUCUUAGAUAUUAGGAGGAACACCGGUGGCGAAGGCGGUCAUCUGGGCUACAACUGACGCUGAUGCGUGAAAGCGUGGGGAGCAAACGGG